UACGAAGGGGGCUAGCGUUGUUCGGAAUCACUGGGCGUAAAGGGCGCGUAGGCGGCCGUUCAAGUCGGGGGUGAAAGCCUGUGGCUCAACCACAGAAUUGCCUUCGAUACUGGACGGCUCGAGACCGGAAGAGGUCAGUGGAACUGCGAGUGUAGAGGUGAAAUUCGUAGAUAUUCGCAAGAACACCAGUGGCGAAGGCGGCUGACUGGUCCGGUUCUGGACGCUGAGGCGCGAAAGCGUGGGGAGCAAACAGG
rnacentral:rRNA from 1 species